rnacentral:rRNA from 1 species
UACGUAGGGGGGCAAGCGUUGUCCGGAAUCAUUGGGCGUAAAGCGCGUGUAGGCGGUUCGGUAAGUCUGCUGUGAAAGUCCAGGGCUCAACCCUGGGAUGCCGGGUGGAUACUGUCGGACUAGAGUACGGAAGAGGCGAGUGGAAUUCCCGGUGUAGCGGUGAAAUGCGCAGAUAUCGGGAGGAACACCAAUUGCGAAGGCAGCUCGCUGGGACGUCACUGACGCUGAGACGCGAAAGCGUGGGGAGCAACAGG